rnacentral:rRNA from 1 species
UACGUAGGGUGCAAGCGUUGUCCGGAAUUAUUGGGCGUAAAGAGCUCGUAGGCGGUUUGUUGCGUCGGCUGUGAAAUCCCGAGGCUCAACCUCGGGUCUGCAGUCGAUACGAGCAAACUAGAGUGUUGCAGGGGAGAACUGGAAUUCCUGGUGUAGCGGUGAAAUGCGCAGAUAUCAAGGGAGGGAACACCCGGGUGGGCGAAAGGGCGGG